GACGAACCGUGCGAACGUUGUUCGGAAUCACUGGGCUUAAAGGGCGCGUAGGCGGGCCGCCGCGUCCGGGGUGAAAUCCCCCCGCUCAACGGGGGGACGGCCUCGGAUACGGGCGGCCUGGAGGCGGGUAGGGGCACGCGGAACUGUGGGUGGAGCGGUGAAAUGCGUUGAUCUACAGAGGAACACCAAAAAAGGCGAAGGCAGUCAACUAUUCUGUUCCUGACAUUGAGGCAUGAAAGCGUGGGGAGCAAACCGG
rnacentral:rRNA from 1 species